rnacentral:ncRNA from 1 species
UUUAAUAUUGAUUUUGUAUUCAAAAAUUGGCUUUUUUGAUAAUUUUAUAUGUAAGGUUUUUCGCGUAGAAAAUUAUCUAAAUGAUAAUUUGUCUUUAUUUGCAGUUUUUAAGAUUAAGGUUUUUCGCGUAGAAAAUUAUCUAAAUGAUAAUUUGUCUUUAUUUGCAGUUUUUAAGAUUAGUUUUUAUAUAAAUAUAGAGCUAGUUAAUUAAAGUAGAUUUGUUAAAAGUUGUGCCAGCAAACGCGGUUAUACAAUUGAUUCAAGUUAAUUUUUUUGGUUAUAUUAAUUUUUUAUUUUAGGAAUUUAAUUUAUAUUUAUUAAGUGAAAUUUUAAUAUAUUAUAUAAUUUCUUGGUUUAAGAAUAUAAUAAAAUUAGGAUAAAAACUAGGAUUAGAUACCCUAUUAUUCUAAUUAUAAAAUUAGUACCAUAACAUUAAUAGAUAUGAUCUUUAAAUUAAAAAAAUUUGGCGGUAAUUUAGUCCUUUCAGAGGAACCUGUCCUUUAAUCGAUAAUCCACGUUAUAUUUAACUUUAAUUUUGUUUAUAUACCUCUGUCAUUGAAUGUUUUAUUAGAAUAUUUUCUUUAAUUAUCAAUUUAUGUAAUGUCAGGUCAAGGUGUAAUUAUAUUAAAGGUUGAGAUGGGUUACAUUUAAUGUUAAUUUAUUGAUUUAUAAUUUGUAAUAGAUUAUAUUAAAAAGGAUUUGAAAGUAAUUUUAGUUAUUUUUCUAUAAUGAUUUUGGCUCUAAAUUAUGCACAUAUCGCCCGUCACUUUUAUUAAUAAGAUAAAAUAAGUCGUAACAAAGUAAUUUUACUGGAAAGUGUAAUUAGAAUUAU